ACCCCUUCGGAUGAGGGCCUCUGGGUCCUUGCGACCGAAGCGGGAUCGGACGGAAGAAGAGUGUGGGCAAGAUGAACCUGGAGCUGCUCGAAUCCUUUGGGCAGAACUAUCCAGAGGAAGCUGAUGGCACAUUGGACUGUAUUAGUAUGGCUCUUACAUGUACUUUUAACAGAUGGGGCACUCUUCUAGCAGUGGGUUGUAAUGAUGGCCGAAUUGUCAUUUGGGAUUUCUUGACAAGGGGCAUUGCAAAAAUAAUAAGUGCCCAUAUUCACCCAGUUUGUUCAUUAUGUUGGAGUCGAGAUGGUCACAAGUUAGUGAGUGCAUCAACUGAUAAUAUGGUGUCUCAGUGGGAUGUUUUGACUGGUGAUUGUGAUCAGAGGUUUCGUUUUCCUUCUCCUAUCCUGAAAGUCCAGUAUCAUCCCCGUGAUCAAAACAGAGUGUUAGUAUGCCCAAUGAAAUCUGCCCCAGUAAUGCUAACAUUGUCUGAUUCAAAGCACGUUGUCCUACCAGUGGAUGAUGAUUCUGAUCUCAAUGUGGUGGCUUCUUUUGACCGGCGAGGGGAAUAUAUCUAUACAGGGAAUGCUAAAGGGAAGAUCUUGGUGUUAAAGACAGACACUCAGGAUCUUGUUGCUUCCUUUAGAGUGACAACAGGAACCAGCAACACUACAGCUAUUAAAUCUAUAGAGUUUGCUCGAAAAGGAAGUUGCUUUCUCAUAAAUACUGCUGAUCGCAUAAUCAGAGUUUAUGAUGGCCGGGAAAUCUUGACCUGUGGUAGAGAUGGGGAACCAGAACCAAUGCAAAAACUACAGGAUUUGGUGAACAGGACACCUUGGAAGAAAUGCUGUUUCUCUGGUGACGGAGAGUACAUUGUUGCAGGGUCAGCACGUCAGCAUGCUCUGUACAUAUGGGAGAAAAGUAUUGGCAACCUUGUGAAAAUCCUGCAUGGCACUAGGGGGGAACUCUUGCUGGAUGUUGCAUGGCAUCCUGUCCGACCAAUCAUUGCUUCUAUUUCCAGUGGAGUGGUAUCCAUAUGGGCACAAAAUCAAGUGGAAAACUGGAGUGCCUUUGCACCUGAUUUUAAAGAGCUGGAUGAAAAUGUAGAAUAUGAAGAGCGGGAGUCUGAAUUUGACAUAGAAGAUGAAGAUAAGAGUGAGCCAGAACAGACAGGUGCUGAUGCUGCAGAAGAUGAGGAAGUGGAUGUAACUAGUGUAGACCCCAUUGCAGCUUUUUGUAGCAGCGAUGAAGAAUUGGAAGACUCUAAAGCUUUACUCUACUUGCCUAUUGCUCCUGAGGUGGAAGACCCAGAGGAAAAUCCCUACGGGCCUCCACCAGAUGCAGUUCAGACUGCUUUACCUGAUGAAGCAAUAGGCACUGAGAAGAAGCGUCAGUCUUUGUCCGAUGGACCUCAGCCUCCAAAGAAGAAACCUAAAACAACCAACAUAGAAUUGCAGGGAGUACCCAAUGAUGAAGUCCAUCCACUGCUGGGUGUAAAAGGAGAUGGUAAAUCCAAGAAGAAGCAAGCAGGGAGGCCUAAAGGAUCAAAAGGUAAAGAGAAAGAUUCUCCAUUUAAACCGAAACUCUACAAAGGGGACAGAGGUUCUUUACCUCUGGAAGGAGCAGCGAAGGGUAAAGUGCAGGCGGAGCUGGGACAGCCUUUGCCAGAACAUUGUUUCAGUAGCCUGUGGGAUCCUCCUGGCAGUCUCUGGUAAACUUUAGAUGGAUGGCAGCAUGCCUUCUGGAGAGUAGUUGGUUUUCAUGGUUGGUAUCGUCCAUGCAUACCAGUCUUGUUCUUAUGGUGGAUUUAUGAAUACUGACCUCAGACAAUGCAAAAGAUGUAUCCAGAUACUUUGAAGUUACUCUAGGAUUCUUCUGCUUUUUGUUGGACAGCCGCAAAGUAAUAAAGGUGCUGCAUUUUCUUCAUUUAUAAACUAUUUACUUGAUUAUUGAUGGAUGGAGGCCAGAAUUUUUGGCAAUAUGGUAAGCCUUUUCUACCUCAGGAGUAUCAACAAUCCAUUUACUGAGGUUCACAGACAUCUGUUUUGAUUGGGGCAUUAUUUACUUCCACAAACCUGUGCCAUGAAGAGCAAACCCCAAUGGUGGCAAUCAACAUAUGUAUGGUUUUAUUUUUGUGGAGGAGGGCCUCAAAACCUCAAACCUGAUAGCCAUAUCAUUGAUAGGAAUAUCGGAUGCUGCUUAAGAGACUGGAUUAUCCCAGAACUUCAGAUACUUUUUACAACAAAGACAGUGAAUAUUGGCUCAGUCUGUUUAAUGAAGACACGAUACAGCACACUAUACAGGUGGUGGAAUCUCAGAGUUGUUAUGAAAGCUUCCUUCCUCAUGCCCUCUUAUUUCUCAUUUUGGCAUCGUAACAUGGAAUAAGAACAAAUGUUCAGUCAGAUAAUGGACUGCCUUUAUGUGGGAAAGAUAUCUGACUAGACUGCCUGCAUCUCCAGGGAACAAUUUUUGCAAAUUAUGGAACAGGAACAUUUUUUCACCCCAGUCCUUUCUUUUUACUAACAGUAAACGGACAAGGAAAGAUUUGUGCAAAAUCUGAUGGGAAAGAGCUGUUUUUUGCCCAUAAUCUUCUUAGAAUUCCCUAAAGUACAAGGUCUGGAACAAGAUAAGAAGGUAUCUUGCUUGUAUAUUGAGUCCUGUGUUAGUUUAUGUUACAUGGCUUAAUUCUUGAGAGAAAAAUGCUGGAGACCUAUUGAGUUCUGGCAUAAUGCUAUUGCAUUGUGACUGGCUAAAGCAAAUUACUCUGAGCAUUUGUUCGUUUGUUUCUCUUAAUCAUACUGAAUUGGAAAUGCAGUUAGUGCUUAGCUUCCUGUCCUACAGCUGUGAUACGUUGUGAAUUGAUUCAGUUUUCAAAUGGGCUGUUGAAGUCCAGAUGACUCUGAUGUAUAAGAACAAGAACUGUUUCUCCAAGGGAGAAAAAGAGCAUAGAAAAAAGUGAGUAGACUGAGCAAAAACAUGAGUGACUCUUGUUUCUUCUCCCCAUGUUUUAUCCACAUCCAGAGAUGCUUGUUUCCCGACCCCUUCAGGGUUCUAGUGAGAACAAACAUUUCCCUAGAUUCUGUAGAGGAAGUAUAUAAAAAUGGAAAACACAGACUUCUGUUAAAUGAUUUCAUUUGUUCACAUGCUCAGAAAACAAUUUAAGGAUGUGAAUGUUGAUCCUCGGUCUAUUUUAGAAAAUAGGCCUCUGAUUCAGGAGAUUUAAAUGAUGACAGCAAUGUCUUCAAAAUAUAGCUAAAGGAUAUACAGGCAAUUCACAUAGUCUUACAUCUAUAGAAUGGAAAAAUAAGUUUUAAAUACGCUUUUUAGUUUAAUUGUUUUGUUUUCUGUAUAAUGUCCUGUGGUAUGUUUCUUCUAAGGAUAUCCUGAGUUGAAAUCUUACAUUUUGUAUAUUAUUAUUUAUGCAAUCCUUACUUCUAGGAUUUUAUGCAACCUUCCCUUAUAUAAUCUGGUCACCCACAGCUUUCCAGUCCAUAUGAAGAAUGAUAGAAAGGUUGCUUGGAUAAUUGCUGUUGUAUUGUUUAUGUGGUAUUAUGAAUUCAAGCCAGACCUGCAGUUUUCUCCAGUUUAAUGUGCUGUUUUAUUUUUCAGUUUUCUAUUAUUAUUAUUUUUGUUACUAUUAUAGUUUGUACAGAACUUGAAAAAUAAUAAUUGCUUUGUAGCUACUGUAAAGUAUUGCUGUGAUGUUAGCUUCUCUAUUUGUAAAUAAAGAGAUGUUUUAUUUCCUAAA